rnacentral:rRNA from 1 species
AUAUCAAUAAGCGGAGGAAAAGAAACUAACAAGGAUUCCCCUAGUAACUGCGAGUGAAGCGGGAAGAGCUCAAAUUUGAAAUCUGGCGGGCACCCCGUCCGAGUUGUAAUCUGGAGAAGCGUUUUCCGCGCUGGACCGUGUACAAGUCCCUUGGAACAGGGCGUCAUAGAGGGUGAGAAUCCCGUCUACGACACGGACCGCCAGUGCUGUGCGAUGCGCUCUCGAAGAGUCGAGUUGUUUGGGAAUGCAGCUCAAAACGGGUGGUAAAUUCCAUCUAAAGCUAAAUAUUGGCGAGAGACCGAUAGCGAACAAGUACCGUGAGGGAAAGAUGAAAAGCACUUUGGAAAGAGAGUGAAACAGUAC